CCCUCCGCUCCUGACCUCCUCUCUGCUUCCUGGCUACCAUGGUUUAAGCAGCUUUGCUCGGCGUGUCCCUUCUACCAUGCCACUUCUGUCUUGGAGCCGGAGACCAUGGACUGAAACCACGAGCCAAAAUAAACCUCUGUUCCUUCGAGCUGUGGGCGCUGGGCGUUUUAUGACAGAGGAGCCUGGACAGCGUGGCUCUGUCUCUCCGUGGCUAGCCUGAGCUACCGCAUUCGGCCUGUGGGUGGUUGUACUUCUGCCCGAGAGGUCAUCUUUCCCACGGACCCAGUGCGUGUGAAGGCUGAUUAGUGCAUUAUCUGUCACGCAGGGAGGGGCUCAUCAUCAGCCACUUUCGCUCCAUGAGGCUGCCAUGCGCUGCAAGCCACAGAAUCUACAGUCCAGACUCGAGAAGCCAGUGUGCGAACCUGGUGUCUUCCAGUUGGGAAUCGAAAGCAGGACUGAACAAUGAAUAAAUACGUUGUUUCCAGGAGCCAGGAUUCAUUCUGUGGAAGAGGCGCACAAAUAUAAAAUAUGGAAAAGCAGGAGAGAGCUCUGAAGGUACACAUUGGAAUUGGAAACAUCAACCACUUCAUUUCUAAAAGAGAAAAGUGUGUGCGAGAAUCUUUAUCUGCCUAUGCAUUUUUAUUUUUCAGACACUUAGAUGUGCACCUGUGUUUACAUACACAUGCACACCCAGGCACAGUAGCAGUGAGAUUACCUGUAGCCUAGGUCUUGAUCUCUAAUACCAUGCUACACCAAAAUCAGCAGGACAGUAGCUGAUUUCAGGAUUGGAAUAAAGCGGUUGCGAGAUGGGCUGGGAACAUUUUAUACCAGAUAGUAAGGAAAUGUGGGGAAGAAAGAUGUUAUAAGGACGUGGGAGCUAGCUUUACAGUGGCCAAAUUGAGGACAUUUGAACAACAAAAC